GACGAACGCUGGCGGCGUGCUUAACACAUGCAAGUCGAGCGGUAAGGCCCUUUCGGGGGUACACGAGCGGCGAACGGGUGAGUAACACGUGGGUGACCUGCCCUCAGCUCUGGGAUAAGCCUGGGAAACUGGGUCUAAUACCGGAUAUGACUCCAUGACGCAUGUUGUGGGGUGGAAAGCCUUGUGCGGCUGAGGAUGGGCCCGCGGCCUAUCAGCUUGUUGGUGGGGUGAUGGCCUACCAAGGCGACGACGGGUAGCCGGCCUGAGAGGGCGACCGGCCACACUGGGACUGAGACACGGCCCAGACUCCUACGGGAGGCAGCAGUGGGGAAUCUUGCGCAAUGGGCGAAAGCCUGACGCAGCGAGCCGCGUGAGGGAUGACGGCCUCGGUGUAAC
rnacentral:rRNA from 1 species